UAAAUGAGAGGCAGCCAUCAGCUCUCAGCCAAGAUGUAUUUUGGCAAGAUGAAGCCCAGCAUCAUCUUCGUCCUUUCUCUGCUCUUUGUUCUAGAGAAGCAAGCAGCUGGCGUUGCAUUCCAAGGUCAGAUGAAAAACCAGUUGCCAGAUAGAUCCUAUGAAUAUCUACUGACACAGCAAAAAGCUCGUCAACAUGUUGGACAAAAAGGCGUCAAAGGAAUUUCAAGUGAAGAAAGUUUUCUGGGCCAAACUAAAAGCCAGUUGCAGGACAGUGAUCUAGCCUUGCAACAAACACAAAGUAGGAAAGCCUAUAUAUCCAAAAAAAAAGCCACCCUUUGCCAGGCAGGAGGAUUAGGCCAUACCAAAGCCCAAGUCAUCGCUACUAAGCAUGCCAGUGGAGAGUCACAAGUCCGUAAACAUUUUGGUAUAAGCCAAGCAAAGGGAAGGUCAGGUCAAUAUUUAGGCACCAAAGGAAGCUACUUUGGAACCAAAGGCUCUUCCCAACAGCUCAAGGGAGCUAGUCACUACAUGAAAACCAAGGGAGGCUCCUUCUAUGGGGGAACAAAAGGCACACAAUUCCAAGAAAGACAGGUCUCAUUUAAAGGGCAAUCACAAUACCCCAGUGAAGAGGUAAUGCAGCAACGAUUUGUCAAGGGAGGUCAAAUCCAAGACUCUGUGGAACAAUAUCUUCAAUAAUACACUGAAGACCAGGACCAAUUUGGAGGGUCCUCUAACCUGAGUGCAGUCUGUGAUGUCUUCAAGAUCUGUUCUACCACAUGACCCCAGACCCUUGGGACAUCGGUGGCGCCCCUCCCCCCACUUGCUUUUCUUCAGGAUUUCUCAACCUGUGGAUGCCUGAAACAUGUGCUUUUCAAUAAAAACAUAACUUUCUGCAUCA